rnacentral:rRNA from 1 species
UUAUGCUAAUAAGAGCGUAUGGUGGAUGCCUUGGCACUAAGAGCCGAUGAAAGACGUGAUAAGCUGCGAAAAGCUUCGGGGAGGAGCAAAUAUCCUAUGAUCCGGAGAUCUCUGAAUGGGGAAACCCACCUGAGCAAACCUCAGGUAUCCUAACGCCAAUACAUAACGUUAGGAGGGGAACCCGGUGAACUGAAACAUCUAAGUAGCCGGAGGAAGAGAAAACAACAUGUGAUUCUGGAAGUAGCGGCGAGCGAAACCGGAAGAGCCCAAACCGGAGUGCGUGCACUCCGGGGUUCGGACCGCGGAAUUGAUCCAAAAGACUUAACAGAACGGCCUGGGAAGGCCGGCCAGAGAGGGUGAAAGCCCCGUAAGUGAAAGGUCGAUUGGCAUGGCGGUAUCCAGAGUAGGUCGAGACACGUGGAACCUUGACUGAAUACGCGGGGACCACCCCGUAAGGCUAAAUACUCCUUAGUGACCGAUAGCGCAUAGUACUGUGAAGGAAAGGUGAAAAGGACCCCGGGAGGGGAGUGAAAAAGAACCUGAAACCAUAUGUUUACAAGCUGUGGAACCACUUUAAAUGUGGAACCGCGUACUUUUUGUAGAACGGUCCGGCGAGUUACGCUGGCUGGCGAGGUUAAGUCCUUAAGGGAUGGAGCCGAAGGGAAACCAAGUCUGAAUAGGGCGAAGAGUCAGUCGGAGUAGACCCGAAACCGGGUGACCUAUCCAUGUCCAGGAUGAAGUUGCCGUAAAAGGCAAUGGAGGUCCGAACCCACAUCCGUUGAAAAGGGUGGGGAUGAGGUGUGGAUAGGGGAGAAAUUCCAAUCGAACCCGGAGAUAGCUGGUUCUCCUCGAAAUAGCUUUAGGGCUAGCCUCAUACAAGUCUUGCGGAGGUAGAGCACUGAAUUUCCUAGGGGGCGUCAAAGCUUACCGAAGAAUAUCAAACUCCGAAUGCCGCGUAGAUGGUGUAUGGGAGUCAGACUGCACGAGAUAAGUUGGGUAGUCAAAAGGGAAAGAGCCCAGACCUGCAGCUAAGGUCCCAAAAUGUGUGUUAAGUGGAAAAGGAUGUGGGAUUUCGAAGACAACUAGGAUGUUGGCUCAGAAGCAGCCAUACAUUCAAAGAGUGCGUAAUAGCUCACUAGUCGAGAGGUCCUGCGCCGAAAAUGUCCGGGGCUGAAACACACUACCGAAGCUCAGGAAUGUACUUGUACAUUGGUAGAGGAGCAUUGUAUACGGGAAGAAGCAGUACCGAUAAGGAGCUGUGGACUGUAUAGAAGAGAGAAUGCCGGAAUGAGUAGCGAGAGGAAGGUGAGAAUCCUUCCGGCCGAAUAUCUAAGGUUUCCAGAGUAAAGCUGAUCUGCUCUGGGUAAGUCGGGGCCUAAGGCCAGGUCGAAAGACGUAACCGAUGGACAACAGGUUGAAAUUCCUGUACCGCGAUAUAACAGAACUGUGGGGACACGUGUGGAGAGCACAAGCCGGGAAUGGAAAGCCCGGCGCAAGCGAGGUAGGAGUCGUACUGGCAAAUCCGUACGGCAAUCCGAAGACGUGAUGCGUACCGAAAUAAGAGUAGGGAAGAGUGUGAGCCAUGCGUCAAGAAAAGCCGCUAUUGUUUGUAUCGCGCCCGUACCGUAAACCGACACAGGUGGAUGAGGAGAGAAUCCUAAGGCCGACGGGAGAAGCAUUGUUAAGGAACUCGGCAAAAUGACUCCGUAACUUCGGGAGAAGGAGUGCCACUGAGAGGUGGCCGCAGAGAAUUGGCCCAAGCAACUGUUUAGCAAAAACACAGGUCUAUGCAAAACCGAAAGGUGAAGUAUAUGGGCUGACGCCUGCCCGGUGCUGGAAGGUUAAGGGGAGAGGUUAGCGCAAGCGAAGCUUUGAACUUAAGCCCCAGUAAACGGCGGCCGUAACUAUAACGGUCCUAAGGUAGCGAAAUUCCUUGUCGGGUAAGUUCCGACCCGCACGAAAGGCGUAAUGAUUUGGGCACUGUCUCAACAAUGCACCCGGUGAAAUUGAAAUACCAGUGAAGAUGCUGGUUACCUGCGCCAGGACGGAAAGACCCCAUGGAGCUUUACUCCAGCUUGAUACUGGGAUUCGAUAUUGUAUGUACAGGAUAGGUGGGAGGCGAAGAAGCAUUGACGCCAGUUGAUGCGGAGCCGCUGUUGGGAUACCACCCUUGCAGUAUUGGAUUUCUAACCAGCAGCCGUGACCCGGCUGGGGGACAAUGUCAGGUGGGGAGUUUGACUGGGGCGGUCGCCUCCGAAAGGGUAUCGGAGGCGCUCAAAGGUUCCCUCAGAAUGGUUGGAAACCAUUCGAAGAGUGCAAAGGCAGAAGGGAGCUUGACUGCGACACCGACGGGUGGAGCAGGUACGAAAGUAGGACUUAGUGAUCCGGUGGUAUAAAGUGGGAUUGCCAUCGCUCAACGGAUAAAAGCUACCCUGGGGAUAACAGGCUUAUCACUCCCAUGAGUUCACAUCGACGGAGUGGUUUGGCACCUCGAUGUCGGCUCAUCGCAUCCUGGGGCUGAAGUAGGUCGCAAGGGUUGGGCUGUUCGCCCAUUAAAGC